rnacentral:rRNA from 1 species
GGGCCCCCGCACAAGCAGCGAGCGUGUGGUUUAAUUCGAUGUUACACGAAGAACCUUACAGGGUUUUGACAUGCAAGUGGUAGGAAACCGAAAGGUGACCGACCCUUCGGGGAGCUUGCACAGGUGCUGCAUGGCUGUCGUCAGCUCGUGUCGUGAGAUGUUCGGUUAAGUCCGCUAACGAGCGCAACCCUCGCUGUGUGUUAUAUGUGUCACACGGGACUGCCGGUCUUAAGCCGGAGGAAGGUGGGGAUGAUGUCAAGUCAGCAUGGCCUUUAUAUCCUGGGCUACACACACGCUACAAUGGCCAACACAAUAGGUUGCUAAGCCGCGAGGUGGCGCCAAUCCAUAAAGUUGGUCUCAGUUCAGAUUGUAGGCUGCAACCCGCCUGCAUGAAGAUGGAGUUGCUAGUAACCGCAGGUCAGCUAUACUGCGGUGAAUACGUUCCCGGGGCUU